GACGGAGGGGGCAAGCGUUGUCCGGACUCACUGGGCGUAAAGCGCACGUAGGCGGUGCGGUGCGUCGGUGCUGAAAGCGCCAGGCUUAACCUGGCGAGGCGUGCCGAUACGACCGGACUGGAGGCAGGCAGAGGGUGGCGGAAUUCCGGGUGUAGUGGUGAAAUGCGUAGAGAUCCGGAGGAACGCCUGUGGCGCAAGCGGCCACCUGGGCCUGACCUGACGCUGAGGUGCGAAAGCGUGGGGAG
rnacentral:rRNA from 1 species